GCAGCAGUGGGGAUAUUGCCAAUGGGGGCAGCCUGAUGCAGCCAUGCCGCGUGUGUGAAGAGGCCUUCGGGUUGUAAAGCACUUUCAGUUGUGAGGAAAGGUUAGUAGUUAAUACCUGCUAGCUGUGACGUUAGCAACAGAAGAAGCACCGGCUAACCCGUGCCAGCAGCCGCGGUAA
rnacentral:rRNA from 1 species